rnacentral:lncRNA from 1 species
UUUUAAACUGAAACUAUUCUAGGCAUUUUGAGUUAGAGAAAAUCAUAGCUUAAGACCAGAUUCUUCUGAGGCUUAGGAAGAUAUUUUUGAUUCCAUAUUAUAUGUUAUAAAGAGAAGUACUAGAUAAAUAAAAUGAAAGAUUAGCCUGAAUUUCACAGACCUCAUAAAUCAGAAAUUUGAGCAUUUUAUAUUGAAAUAGCACUUUAAGUCACACAGCAAUGAUGUAUUUCUUUGCCAAGCUUUUUUAAAAAUAAGGAAAAACAGAGAAUUCAUAAAAUUCCCUGAUGGAAAUACAAUUGAAAUAUAAAAGACACUAGAAAGGAACUCACAUAAUAUAUUUAUAUACAUAAAAGUACUUGAUAAUAUAUUGUCAUAGAUGGAGCUUUUACCACCACUGUAAAUGAACUGCCAAAUUCAUC